GUAAUCACUUCGCCACCAGGAGCACAUAUACUAAAAUUGGUAAGAUACAGAGAUUAGCAUGGCCCCUGCGCAAGAAUGACACGGAAAUUCGUGUAGCGUCCUCCUCUCUA